rnacentral:rRNA from 1 species
GAUUCAUGGCUCAGGAUGAACGCUGGCGGCGUGCCUAACACAUGCAAGUCGAACGGACUUACAUUGAAGCCUAGCGAUAUGUAAGUUAGUGGCGGACGGGUGAGUAACGCGUGGGUAACCUGCCUUGUACUGGGGGACAACAGUUGGAAACGACUGCUAAUACCGCAUAAGCGCACAGCUUCGCAUGAAGCAGUGUGAAAAACUCCGGUGGUACAAGAUGGACCCGCGUCUGAUUAG